GCUGCCUCCAGUUUGUGAUUUCCAGAAUGAAACAUGUCUUCCCCGCUGUCUGCUCGAGAUUCCUCUGUCUCUGCUUUGGACUUUAGCACCUUUGUCCCUCCAUCCUGAGACCCUCCCUGGGGUGUGAUUUUUUUCCAUUUACAACUUUACACAAUUCCAUUUCAUUGCUUCUUACCCAACUUUGUUCAGAGAGACAGAAAGCCACUCUUCCCCAUUUUUUCCCCCUGCAAGCCCUUCGUGCUGUUUCCUAGCUACUUCAUUUUCAGGAGCAUGACUCACCAUCUUCCCAAGCUUCAUUUGCCUGAAGACCAGGACUCUUUCCCAGCCCAGCCUGUCAUAACUCUGACGAAGAAUGCUCUUUCUUAAACAGAAACCCAGCCCUGGCACUUGCUAGCUUAUAAUCCUUCACUGGUUUUGUCACCAGACGUGGACCUAAGAGAUCUCCAAAGCAGAGGUGGGGAACGUUGACUCACACCACCCAUGGGACAGGUUGCAAGGUUGCUGACUUCCAGCACAGGAAAAGAAUUUUCAAGAUGUACCAGUAAUAGGCAUAAAGAGAUUCAUUAAGCAGACUUUAAAAAAUAUGCACUCAAGAAGAACAGCAAAUGGGCCUUCAAGAGAAAGUCACACCAUGGCCUUGAGAGUACCAGAGAGAUGGCAACAUGGGAAUGGCACAGUGAAGCUUUGAAGAUGGAGUUGGGGCCAUGAGCCAAGGAAUGUGGUGGCCUCUCAAGGCUAGAAAUGACAAGGAAACAGAUCCCGUCUUAUUGUGUCCAGUGAAGAACAUAGCCCUGCUGAUGCAUUGAACUUGGCCCAGUGAGACCCUUGCUGGAACUGUGACUUACAGAACUGUAGGAUAAUAAAUGCAUUGUGCCUUAA